rnacentral:misc_RNA from 1 species
GAUGAAGAACGUAGCGAAAUGCGAUACGUAAUGUGAAUUGCAGAAUUCAGUGAAUCAUCGAAUCUUUGAACGCAUAUUGCGCUCUCUGGUAUUCCGGAGAGCAUGCUUGUUUGAGUAUCAGUAAACACCUCAACUUCCAUAUCUUUUUUGAAAUGGGAGUUGGACUUGAGUGAUCCCAACGCUUUUCCUCACCGAAAAGUGGCGGGUUACUUGAAAUGCAGGUGCAGCUGGACUUUUCUUUGAGCUAUAAGCAUAUCUAUUUAGUCUGCCUAAAAAACAGAUUAUUACCUUUGCUGCAGCUAACAUAAAGGAGAUUAGUUCUUGUGCUGACUGAUGCAGGAUUCACAAAGACAGGCUUCGGCCGACUUUGUAAACUCGAUCUCAAAUCAAGUAAGACUACCCGCUGAACUUAAGCAUAUCAAUAAGCGGAGGA